rnacentral:rRNA from 1 species
UACGUAGGUGGCGAGCGUUGUCCGGAUUUACUGGGCGUAAAGAGCGCGCAGGCGGUCGUUCAAGUCGCGUGUGAAAGCCCCCGGCUCAACUGGGGAGGGUCACGCGAUACUGAUCGACUCGAAGGCAGGAGAGGGUAGUGGAAUUCCCGGUGUAGUGGUGAAAUGCGUAGAUAUCGGGAGGAACACCAGUGGCGAAGGCGACUACCUGGCCUGUUCUUGACGCUGAGGCGCGAAGGCUAGGGGAGCAAACGGG